rnacentral:tRNA from 1 species
GCAGCGGUGGCCUACUGGUUAACGCUUCGGACUUGUAACCGGAGGGUUGGAUUCGAAUCCCGACCACGGCU